rnacentral:lncRNA from 1 species
CCUCGCCGGUAAAGAACAGUUCCUUCUGUUGAGAUGUGUAACCACGCCGGAUCAUAUCGAGAUCACUACUGGUACUAGGAAAUACUCAGCCUCAUUUGGAAGGCGAGCUCGGCGCACCGGCAAUAGCUGCGAAAACGCUGUGCAGCUCUGCCGGCAAUCGCCGGGCGGAUAAUGCAUCCUGCCCUAAAAAACGUUUACAAUCUCCUGAUGCUCAUGCACUGUGACUGACUCCUCAUUGAUUGGAUACUGGUAAAUCGUCGGGGGUGGGGAACUGAAAGCACGGAGAGUGGCGGCAGAGUGUAUCCACCUGGUGUCUGAUACACUCGCACGCUGGGACAAAUACGCUGUCAUCCAUCAGAAAGGGAACCUGGUGCUCGAACUCUCACAGAACGCCUUCUAACCUUUUGACAAUGUUGUCUUAUUUUUAUUAAGGUUGGUGCAUGUAUGGAGGAAGGUAGAGCGAAUAUUUUUCCGAUCGAGUGUUUGUCCUAGUAUCUGCUGAGGGAGACUGUGUAACGGCUGACUGGUUCCAGUCUCGUGGACCGUGGCAAAAGGUCCGGUGACACACGCUCGAAUGUGGUUCAAGCUUUUGUGGAACAAGGCUUUUGUAGAGCAAUCUUCGACGACGCAGGAUGCACCUUUUUCUGCGAUGCAGAGAACCAAGCCUCGAUGCCGAAUAAGAGAAAUGGUCUGCCGAGAGCCUGGCUGAGGCGCCGGCCGAAAAUCGCAGGAGAAAUGCGGUUUUUGGAGGAUGACAUUCCUCGGUACGGCAGGCCCUAAAGUGUGCACGAUCGCUUUCACAGGGAGAUCAUGAGCAUGAGUGACGAGUGUCGGUUACU